rnacentral:rRNA from 1 species
CCUACGGGGGGCAGCAGUGGGGAAUAUUGGACAAUGGGGGGAACCCUGAUCCAGCCAUGCCGCGUGUGUGAAGAAGGCCCUCGGGUUGUAAAGCACUUUCAGUGAGGAAGAACGCCUGGUGGUUAAUACCCAUCAGGAAAGACAUCACUCACAGAAGAAGCACCGGCUAACUCCGUGCCAGCAGCCGCGGUAAUACGGAGGGUGCGAGCGUUAAUCGGAAUUACUGGGCGUAAAGCGCGCGUAGGUGGCUUGAUAAGCCGGUUGUGAAAGCCCCGGGCUCAACCUGGGAACGGCAUCCGGAACUGUCAAGCUAGAGUGCAGGAGAGGAAGGUAGAAUUCCCGGUGUAGCGGUGAAAUGCGUAGAGAUCGGGAGGAAUAACAGUGGCGAAGGCGGCCUUCUGGACUGACACUGACACUGAGGUGCGAAAGCGUGGGUAGCAAACAGGAUUAGAUACCCGGGUAGUC